GACGAACGCUGGCGGCGUGCUUAACACAUGCAAGUCGAACGGAAAGGCCCUGCUUUUGUGGGGUGCUCGAGUGGCGAACGGGUGAGUAACACGUGAGUAACCUGCCCUUGACUUUGGGAUAACUUCAGGAAACUGGGGCUAAUACCGGAUAGGAGCUCCUGCUGCAUGGUGGGGGUUGGAAAGUUUCGGCGGUUGGGGAUGGACUCGCGGCUUAUCAGCUUGUUGGUGGGGUAGUGGCUUACCAAGGCUUUGACGGGUAGCCGGGCUGGGAGGGUGACCGGCGGCAAUGGGGAUGAGACACGGCCGAGACUCGUACGGGAGGCAGCAGUGGGGAGUAGUGGAGGAUGGGCGAAAGCCUGAUCCAGCAAUGCCGGGUGAGGGAGGAAGGGCUGAGGGGUGUAAAGCUCUUUUACCCGGGAGGAGAAGGACAGUACCGGGAGAAUAAGCGCCGGCUAACUCCGUG
rnacentral:rRNA from 1 species